rnacentral:misc_RNA from 1 species
UAUUGGUGAGAGGUCCCCCAA